AAACAGCUUCUCUGCUGGGGAUUUCUCUGCGACACAGUUUUGGCAGGCCUCUGAGAAAAACAAAAGACAUUAGCGCGCUGGGCCUCUCUUGACCGGUCCCUCUGGAAGGCCAUGUGGAAGUGUCUGGACCAGCUGCAGGCCAGAAGACAGUUGUCCAUCCCAGUAAAGAGAAGCAUAAGUGAAAAAUGAAACAAACCAGGCUUGAAACUCGGAGGAUGUGGUGAGGUGAAAACAAUAACACAGAAUCCAUGACAGAUGGGGUGGAACCAUGAACUGAGGAGCUGAGGAAAUGUGACAGAUCAACAUACUGCAGAUAGAAAAAGCAUGGGCUGGACUGAGGUGCAGCAAAAAGGUCCUGGGUUCGAAUCCCUGCCGGUGGUCUUCGUGCAUGUAGUUUGCAUGUUCUCCCCAUGCAUGCGUGGGCUCUCUCUGGGUACUCCAGCUUCCUCUUAGGUAUGAAUAUGUAUGUGCAUGGUGGUUUGUCCUGUAUGUCUCUGUGGUGCCUUGUAAUUUACUGGCAAACUGUCCAGGCUGUGCCCUGCCUCUCACUCAAUGACCGCUGGAGAUAGGCACC